rnacentral:lncRNA from 1 species
UUUCACUAUAUUAAAAGAAAAUUUACACAGAUCAUUUCAAAGAUGUAACUUCCCUAGAUGAGUACCCCUAACCUGCAUCAACACAGUAACUGAUAUGUUACCACAGGUAAAACUGCGCUGAUAGCGUAAAUUACCUUCCCGUUUACACUGUCAGCGUAUAUAACUUAAAAGCUAAUUUCCUUUUUUUUUUGUUACUUUAGACCAAGAAAUUAUUUGAGCUAAUAGAUGUACCACAUGAACGAGACUCCGCCGGAGUUGUAACCGUAGCUCCGUCGGAUUUACAGGAAACUGCCGGGAGCUCACCGCACUUCCGGCACCGAGUAACGACGAGAAUUUGACGACAAGAAGGACAUGAAGAGUGUGAACCCAGCCAAGUAUCAAUACACUGAAGAUGGAAAAUAUGUCCACACU